GGCAUAUUUAUUGGAAAACCAGCUUUAAAUGAUGAAUAUGUACUGGUGCCAUACUUCUCUCUUUGCCGGUGUCCUCUGGUUAACGAUGCAGACAACCACAGCUUCCGUUUAUUACACCGGGUAUAACCCUGCCCUAUAUGAUUGGAACCAACCCUCAACAAUUUUUUUCGGAAACUUCUCGGGAGGAAACAUCGUGAUGCCCAUUCUUUUUGUGCUGGUUCUUUUCUACAUCGCCAAAAGUGUUAUAGAUAGCAGACAGACGGGGUAAAUACGUCUAGUUCUAUGAAACAAGUUCUGGGCACUUUGAACGAUUAAAAUAUAUAACUUCACAUCAAUGUUUAUGAAUUAUUUGUUAUUUUAAUCAUCAUUUAAAAAUGACGAUUACCUGUUAUUUUUCAUGUUCAGUGACGUAUAUUGUUCCUGCGGAUGCAGUACUCAUAUUAUUUCGUGACAGUUUCAAUAUAAACCACGACAGUGCACUAAUGUCUGGGUAACUAAUAGAUGCCCCCAGCUCCUGAAAUCUAUU